UCGGGUUUCUGCUUCGGGAUGGGCCUGCGCACCAUCACGCUUGUUGGUAGGGUAACGGCCUACCAAGGCUUUGACGGUUAGCCGGCUUGAGAGAAUGAACGGCCACACUGGAACUGAGACACGGUCCAGACUCCUACGGGAGGCAGCAGUAGGGAAUCUUCCGCAAUGGGCGAAAGCCUGACGGAGCAAUGCCGCGUGAGGGAUGAAGGCCUUCGGGUUGUAAACCUCUGUUGAGAGGGAAGAAGGGCAUGUGAGUAACUUCUCGUGCCUUGACGGUACCUUUCGAGGAAGCCACGGCUAAUUACGUGCCAGCAGCCGCGGUAAUACGUAAGUGGCAAGCGUUGUCCGGAUUUACUGGGCGUAAAGCGCGCGUAGGCGGCUUGGUAAGUAGAGGGUGCAAGCUCCGGGCUCAACCCGGAAAUUGCCCUCUAAACUGCCUCGCUUGAGUGUCCGAGGGGAAACUGGAAUUCACGGUGUAGCGGUGAAAUGCGUAGAUAUCGUGGAGAACACCCGUGGCGAAAGCGGGUUUCUGGCGGAACACUGACGCUGAGGCGCGAAGGCUAGGGGAGCGAACGGGAUUAGAUACCCCGGUAGUCCUAGCUGUAAACGAUGGGUACUAGGUGUGGGGAUUUUAUCUCCGUGCCGACGCUAACGCAUUAAGUACCCCGCCUGGGGACUACGACCGCAAGAUUAAAACUCAAAGGAAUUGACGGGGGCCCGCACAAGCGGUGGAGCAUGUGGUUUAAUUCGAUGCAACGCGAGUAACCUUACCUGGACUUGACAUCCCGGGACCGCCAUAGAAAUAUGGUUUUCCCCGUCAGGGGACUCGGUGACAGGUGGUGCAUGGCUGUCGUCAGCUCGUGUCGUGAGAUGUUGGGUUAAGUCCCGCAACGAGCGCAACCCUUGCCGUUAGUUGCCAGCAUUUAGUUGGGGACUCUAACGGGACUGUCGGUAACAAGCCGAAGGAAGGUGGGGAUGACGUCAAGUCAGCAUGCCCCUUAUGUUCAGGGCAACACACGUGCUACAAUGGCCGGUACAGAGGGCUGCGACACUGCGAAGUGGAGCCAAUCCCCAAAGCCGGUCUCAGUUCAGACCGCAGACUGCAACUCGUCUGCGCGAAGGAGGAAUCGCUAGUAAUCGUGAAUCAGCAUGUCACGGUGAAUACGUUCCCGGGCCUUGUACACACCGCCCGUCACACCACCCGAGUUAGGUGCACCCGAAGUCGCUUGACCUGACCCUUUUGGGAGGGGGGCGCCGAAGGUGUGUUUGGUAAGGGGGGUGAAGUCGUAACAAGGUA
rnacentral:rRNA from 1 species